CAUACAUAAACGUUGUACAACCUAUUUGACAAAAUGAAAAAUAUAUUUUUUUCUUUUUUUGUGCUCAUGAUCGCAAUUAUUCAAAGUUUUGCGCAGGUGCCCUACGACUACAUACCCCUAGGGCGUCGCCAGGGUCCCAUAUACCCUUCAGACGUGGCCCUGAACUACGAACGACUUUACCCCUCCCGAAGAAAAUUCUGACCGACUGACCUAAAUACAUCAAUCAAUAAAGUUUGAGCUCUUGUAUCUU